CCUACGGGAGGCAGCAGUGAGGAAUAUUGGUCAAUGGACGCAAGUCUGAACCAGCCAUGCCGCGUGCAGGAAGACGGCUCUAUGAGUUGUAAACUGCUUUUGUACGAGGGUAAACGCAGAUACGCGUAUCUGUCUGACAGUAUCGUACGAAUAAGGAUCGGCUAACUCCGUGCCAGCAGCCGCGGUAAUACGGAGGAUUCAAGCGUUAUCCGGAUUUAUUGGGUUUAAAGGGUGCGUAGGCGGUCGGAUAAGUUAGAGGUUAAAUCCCGGGGCUUAACUUCGGAAUUGCCUUUGAUACUGUUCGGCUAGAGAGUAGUUGCGGUAGGCGGAAUGUAUGGUGUAGCGGUGAAAUGCUUAGAGAUCAUACAGAACACCGAUUGCGAAGGCAGCUUACCAAGCUACUUCUGACGUUGAGGCACGAAAGCGUGGGGAGCAAACAGGAUUAGAUACCCUGGUAGUC
rnacentral:rRNA from 1 species